rnacentral:rRNA from 1 species
AGAGUUUGAUCCUGGCUCAGGAUGAACGCUAGCGGCAGGCUUAACACAUGCAAGUCGAGGGGUAGAGGAAGCUUGCUUCCUUGAGACCGGCGCACGGGUGCGUAACGCGUAUGCAACCUACCUUCAACUGGGGGAUAGCCCGGGGAAACCCGGAUUAAUACCGCAUAACACAUUUGUAUAGCAUUAUAUGAUUUGUUAAAGAUUUAUUGGUUGAAGAUGGGCAUGCGUUCGAUUAGCUAGUUGGCAGGGUAACGGCCUACCAAGGCAACGAUCGAUAGGGGAGCUGAGAGGUUGAUCCCCCACACGGGCACUGAGAUACGGGCCCGACUCCUACGGGAGGCAGCAGUAGGGAAUAUUGGGCAAUGGAUGCAAGUCUGACCCAGCCAUGCCGCGUGCCGGAUGAAGGCCCUCAGGGUUGUAAACGGCUUUUAUUCGGGAAGAAGAGCAGGGAUGCGUCCCUGUGUGACGGUACCGAAUGAAUAAGCACCGGCUAACUCCGUGCCAGCAGCCGCGGUAAUACGGAGGAUCCAAGCGUUAUCCGGAAUCAUUGGGUUUAAAGGGUCCGUAGGCGGUUUGGUAAGUCAGUGGUGAAAGCCCGCAGCUCAACUGUGGAACGGCCAUUGAUACUGCCAGACUUGAAUUACAAGGAAGUAACUAGAAUAUGUAGUGUAGCGGUGAAAUGCUUAGAUAUUACAUGGAAUACCAAUUGCGAAGGCAGGUUACUACUUGUGGAUUGACGCUGAUGGACGAAAGCGUGGGGAGCGAACAGGAUUAGAUACCCUGGUAGUCCACGCCGUAAACGAUGUCUACUAGCUGUUCGUGGUCUUGUACUGUGAGUAGCGCAGCUAACGCACUAAGUAGACCGCCUGGGGAGUACGGUCGCAAGAUUAAAACUCAAAUGAAUUGACGGGGGCCCGCACAAGCGGUGGAGCAUGUGGUUUAAUUCGA